ACAUGCAAGUCGAACGAAGGCUUCGGCCUUAGUGGCGCACGGGUGCGUAACGCGUGGGAAUCUGCCCUUGGGUUCGGAAUAACAGUUGGAAACGACUGCUAAUACCGGAUGAUGUCGCGAGACCAAAGAUUUAUCGCCCAGGGAUGAGCCCGCGUCGGAUUAGGUAGUUGGUGGGGUAAAGGCCUACCAAGCCGACGAUCCGUAGCUGGUCUGAGAGGAUGAUCAGCCACACUGGGACUGAGACACGGCCCAGACUCCUACGGGAGGCAGCAGUGGGGAAUAUUGGACAAUGGGCGAAAGCCUGAUCCAGCAAUGCCGCGUGAGUGAUGAAGGCCUUAGGGUUGUAAAGCUCUUUUACCCGGGAUGAUAAUGACAGUACCGGGAGAAUAAGCUCCGGCUAACUCCGUGCCAGCAGCCGCGGUAAUACGGAGGGAGCUAGCGUUGUUCGGAAUUACUGGGCGUAAAGCGCACGUAGGCGGCUUUGUAAGUCAGGGGUGAAAGCCUGGAGCUCAACUCCAGAACUGCCUUUGAGACUGCAUCGCUUGAUCCGG
rnacentral:rRNA from 1 species